AACGAACGCUGGCGGCAUGCCUAACACAUGCAAGUCGAACGAGACCUUCGGGUCUAGUGGCGCACGGGUGCGUAACGCGUGGGAACCUGCCCUUAGGUUCGGAAUAACUCCCCGAAAGGGGUGCUAAUACCGGAUAAUGUCUUCGGACCAAAGAUUUAUCGCCUUUGGAUGGGCCCGCGUUGGAUUAGCUAGUUGGUAGGGUAAAAGCCUACCAAGGCGACGAUACAUAGCUGGUCUGAGAGGAUGAUCAGCCACACUGGGACUGAGACACGGCCCAGACUCCUACGGGAGGCAGCAGUGGGGAAUAUUGGACAAUGGGCGAAAGCCUGAUCCAGCAAUGCCGCGUGAGUGAUGAAGGCCUUAGGGUUGUAAAGCUCUUUUACCCGGGAUGAUAAUGACAGUACCGGGAGAAUAAGCGCCGGCUAACUCCGUG
rnacentral:rRNA from 1 species